UCGAAGAUAAAUAACCGUAAAAAGUUAAAACAUUUAUAUAUUUAUGACCUAGUCAUUCCGUACCGUACCGUAUAAAUCUUAUUAACUGUGUAUAAUUAGUAAUUUAAUUAAUUAUAGAUGUACAACCGAAAAACCACAAUCUGUAUUAAAAAUAUAGAAAUAGAUAAAAAUGUAAACGCAAAUGCACACAUUUAAUACCGUCCGUCCGUAGUAUAAUAUAAUAUAAGUAAAUAAUAGACACACAGAUAUGUUAAACGUAUAACAACCACCUUUUUACAUUCAAGUCACAGGUAAAAAUUUUGCUCAGACUUAGAAUAAGGAUUGUAACAUUUUUGAACGCAGCCCAAUACGUUACUCUGUGAACGUACAUAGGUUAGAAUUUUAGUUGUUAAUUCAUUGUCAGGUGUCAAACCGAGUAAAUUUCAGCAGCGCAAGGGCACAUGCGCCGUAUAAAUUUUAACUUUUAAUUGAUUUGCAAUGUAAAGAACUUAGUAAAUUGCAUCAGUAAAUAACCGAAACUAUAUUAUAUAAGAAGGAAAAUGUAUACCGAGUACACAAUAAGUUGUACAUAGCCUACAAUGUAAAAAUUCUACCGUUGAGGGGGGAGAAUGUAACGAAGUCGUUACAACAACGGUCAACACACCUACCCGCAUCUCCGAGCCAACAACAAGAACGCCGCGGGGUGGGGCACCGCACAGACCACUCCGGGUGACCAGAGGGGAAGCGGGACGGCACGGCCGCCGCACCUAUAAAGCACCGCAAGACCGCCGCUCCGGCACCAUUCGUCAACUCCAGCUCCGGCGUCUGAUCAGCUCCCAUCCCGUGCUUCCUUCCCACUCACCCUUAUUGUAUUUAUGUAUCUAUAGCCUGCGUCGCGACGAUCUGGUCUCGAUAGGCGCAGCUUGGUUACCCCCUCGUUGUGACUGAGGCUUCGAGCGCGGCGCGGCUGCAAUUAUUAGCCCAAGAUCCUGUACCCUUUAUCCUUUCCUACUAUUUGCUAUAAAUCCGCGUUUGCCCCUUCAGGGCCCUGUUUAAAUAGUUAGAUACUUAAUAGAUAUCCUUAUUUGUGCAUUUGUGUGGUGAAUAUAUAGUUACAAGCUGUAAGUACUAGACAUAUAAGUUAUUAUUGUAAAUAAAGCGGAGCCAGUCCCGCCUUAUUGUUGUAUAUUGUAAUCCGUGUUAUUCAUUUCCAUCCCGUACACCUACCGAGGUUAUUUCCCUCCAGGGGCCUCAGGAAUAAGGAUAGAAUAGCUAGGACCGCUUCACGGUCAUAUUAUAAUCCCCCAGGGUGACCGGAGACUCCUUCAGAGGCCCGGCACCGACUUGAGCUAGCCUAGGACCGCUUCCCGGUAUACACCAUUCGAGAGACAUUCAGUACCAGCCCUAAGCACUAGGAAACCAGUAGUCAUUAGGGUAAGUACAUAUUUAAUAUAGCAUCCAACCCCUACUCUCGGGGGAGGCCAGAGAGGUCGAUUCACCCAGGGGUCGCUCCCCGGUGGUCCAGACCCGCUCCAGCUGAACUGCUACAUUACAAAUCUAUU